rnacentral:rRNA from 1 species
AACGCGAAGAACCUUACCAGGGUUUGACAUCGCCCUGCAACCUGGGGAAACCCAGUCCUCUCGCAAGAGACGGGGUGACAGAUGCUGCAUGGCUGUCGUCAGCUCGUGCCGUGAGGUGUUGGGUUAAGUCCCGCAACGAGCGCAACCCUCGGGGCUAGUUACUGUGUCUAGCCCGACUGCCGCGACAAACGCGGAGGAAGGUGGGGAUGACGUCAAGUCAGCACGGCUCUUACAUCCUGGGCGACACACACGCUACAAUGGACGCGACAAUAGGAUGCGAAGCCACAAGGCGGAGCCAAUCCUCCAAAGGCGUCCUCAGUUCAGAUCGGCGUCUGCAACCCGACGCCGUGAAGGCGGAGUUGCUAGUAACCGCGGGUCAGCACACCGCGGUGAAUACGUUCCCGGGCCUUGUACACACCGAGACGUA